AUUGCACUGUAACUGGCUAUCAAGGACAGAGACCAUGGUGGUCGAUCUAUGCAUCUGUGCAGUAAUGUGACAAAAGUAAACUAUGUUUAUUGUGAAGUCACUGAGAUACUGAAGUGUUACUGUGUUGUGUCAGGAAGAAUCCUGAACCCCAGAGGACCACCAAGGAGCCAUUUCCAAUGUAAUGCUGUACAGAAAUUAAGCUGAAGUGAUGAUAAUGAUUCCAAGGAAGACAAGAGCUUCAACACUCUCAAGUUUUGACUCCUCACUAUUCACUGGAUUCCUAACAGAUUUGCAGUUUCUUGUAAGAGAGGUUUGUAUCUUUCCAAAAUAACUAAUAUUGAGCUCAGCCAAACCACACAUUCUGGAAAAAUGGCAGUAAGUGAGAAAAAGCACAUUAGUAACUGCACUUGACUUUCUUUAUUUUAGGGGACAUGUAAAUUUUCAAAUAAAAACUAUCCAUUUGAGAUACCAUCUAUAUUAAAUACCAUAAAUGUCAGCAUCAAGCAUAAUUCAGUCCACUCUAUGUUGCUUAAGAAUGAAACAUGACACUGUAAAAUGCAAUGAAAUAUAAAAUUAACAUACUGUCCUAAUAGCAAUUGAAAAAAUAUAGGGGAUACUAAAGAACGGUCUACAAAUUAUUGGUAAUAUUAUUUCUUACUCUGGAAUUAUAAACAUGGGUAUCAGUUUUAUUCUAUGUUAUAAAUAUACAGAAUUAUAAUUAUAUAUCUUUUCUAUAAGAACAUUUUAAUAAUACUAAGCAGAACUUUGUUAUCCAUUAGUUUACACACUAAACUCAGUACCAAAAACUAAUUGGCACUUGGUAACUAUGCAUUUUACUAACAGACAUAAACCACUUAACACUGCUUCUGGAAAAUGAGAGCCUGCAAAAUAGGCUACUAUUUUUCUUCUUGAUUCUUUUUUAAUUUUGCUGGAAAAUUAUAUCUUUUUUGGAACUCAAGUAAUUACUUUAAAUAUAAUAUAAAAUAGUAAUGAAUUCCCUUCUACAGAAACCUUAAAUCUAUUAGGAGAUUAGGAGGAACUUGAAAAUAUGUUGUCUCAUAAAAGUUGAUUAAAAAAAAUCUAUUGCAGGAGGGCCGAGCAGAAUGGCAGGGUAGAAACUAUGUGCCCUGUGGGUGCUCAUUAAAACUACUGGCUGCUUGAUUGACUGACCUAAAAAAAUGUCUCUAGGAAUUUUGCUCAAAAUAUUGAGUUUUAAUAGAACUGCUGAGAUUGGACAUAACCAGUUUAGAAGUUAAUACAGAAACUGAAUCCUACUGAUAACAUCAUUCUAUGUAGGUGGGUAGAAAUUUGUUUUGGGGGGUGGGCAGGAAGAGCAGUUGUUUGGAUUUGUAUUUUCUUUGAGGUAGAGGUGGUUGGAGUAUCUUUUGAAAAGACACAGGAAUGACAGGCUCCGGACACAAUGGCCGUUGUCCUCAGCUGACUCUUCAUCCUC